GCAAGUCUGGUGCCAGCAGCCGUAGAGAAAAACGAAACAGCUGUGGUUGCUGAGGCUUCCCCGGCGGAGCAGCAACCAUUAGCAAAAGCAACAGAAGUGACGGAGAAAGUGGCCACUGAGCAAGUAGUGGCAGAGCCCGUAAUUGAGCCGCCUAGAUUUGGAGCAGCCUAUUUAAAUAACCCUGCACCUGCUUAUCCCAUUCAAGCAAGACGCAUGGGUGAGCAAGGUAAAGUGCUGCUUAAAGUGUUAGUGUCUCAAGACGGCAAGGCUGAAACAGUUAAAGUGGAUACAAGUAGCGGCCAUCAUAAAUUGGAUCAGGCAGCGAUUGAAGCUGUUAAAAAAUGGAGCUUUGUACCGGCAAAGCGUAGUAACCAGCCAAUUAGUGCUUAUGUAUUGGUACCUGUAAAUUUCACAUUGAAUGGAUAAAUAGUAAAUCUAAUGAAUAUGCAGUUAAUGCAUGGACUAGUCGAUAAAUUAAGAGUGAACAGAUUAAGAAUCAAGCGAGGGUAAUGAUGCAAAACGGGUAUGAGUUUAAUAGUUGGGAAUUUAUCACGGCGGGUGGGCCAGUUUCUAUGUUGGUUGCCUUGAUCUUAUUAGCAAUGUCGGUGGCGAGUUGGUAUUUAAUCGUGACAAGAAGCGUUAGUGCAUGGCGUAUGCGUCGUGCUUAUCAGAUAUUUUUACAGGCAUUUUGGCAAGCGCCAAGUGUGGCCGUGGCAAUUAAGCAAAGCCAGACUUAUGCUAAUACAGGGAUGGGGAGAUUGGCAGAAAAAGCGAUACUGGCUGCUGGCACCAGACUGCAGGGCGAAUUCGUUUAAGCGUGCAGACUAGUCCUUUAGGGGGUAUUCUGGCUGGGGGAUCGGCAUAGCUGU
rnacentral:rRNA from 1 species